UACAGAGGGUGCAAGCGUUGUUCGGAAUUAUUGGGCGUAAAGCGCGUGUAGGCGGCUUGGCAAGUCGGGUGUGAAAUCCCUCAGCUUAACUGAGGAAGUGCGCCCGAAACUGCCGAGCUUGAGUACCGGAGAGGGUGGCGGAAUUCCCCAAGUAGAGGUGAAAUUCGUAGAUAUGGGGAGGAACACCGGUGGCGAAGGCGGCCACCUGGACGGAUACUGACGCUGAGACGCGAAAGCGUGGGGAGCGAACAGG
rnacentral:rRNA from 1 species